UGUAUCACCAAUCAGCUUUGAUCCCUUCAGAUAAAGUGUCCAGUUUGGGAUCAUCUGACAGCACUUGACUCAUUUGCUUGCAUUUUCCACAACUGCAGUCAGUUGUAACCUGACGUUCUUACUUUGGUUGAUUGGCCAUAUCUUGGACCAUUGGAUUAGACUCUCCUUGCCGUUUAGCAUCCCGAUGUCUACUGUAAGUAUCCUGUUAGUACCAUAGUUUAAUUCAUAUUAUAAUGCACAUCUCUUUAAACGAGGUUUUCAACAUUUGAUAAACAGAAAUACAUUUAAUACUUUGCAUGUUCUUGGUAAAAGUUUACUGAUAAAUGCUAGAUCUUCCUAUUUCAUUCCACAGCAUACUGACGUAGAUUUAUUAACUUAAAAUAAAAGAAUUUGUUACAACGAAUUGACUUUUCAAUCAACAUAGGAACAUAAAAAAAUUGAAAAUAAUAACAGACAUUGAUAACAAGAUAGCAUUACAGCCGUACAUCAGUGUCAAACAACAAUAUUUUAAUGUCAUACAAUCGUAUUUCAGUGCAAACAAUCGUACUUCAGCGUCAAACAUUCGUACUUCAGCGUCAAACAUUCGUACUUAACCUUCAAACAAUAGUAAAUCAGUGUCAAACCAUCGUACCUCAGUGUGAAAAUAACUGUUAGAACAACAAUAACAAAUCAGAAAUAUGAAAGUUGUUAUCCAUUCGUUUGAUUUGUUUAAGCUUUUGAUUGUAUCGUAUUGAAUUUUCACGGAGUGUGGUAUUUUUGUGUUUGAAUGUCCUUUUGAUAUCUUUAGUCUAUGGUGAUGUUUUAUAUGAGCUUCUCUAUAUCAUCACAAUAAUGAGUCCGAAAUUGAUACACAAUAUAUUUUCAUAGGGAAGUAACUAUCGGUAGAAAUGUAAUUUAACUACCUCAAUAAUUAUGUUGUGGAUCAAACUAUCCAUCAUUUUGAUAAUAUCAUCUUUGAUAUAUUUGAUACUUAAUUUAAUUCAGUUCUUUACCAUGUAUAUUUUUUUCAUGACCUUAAAUAACAAAAGUGUAUCUACGAUUCCCCUUUUUGUAGCUAAUGAUCGUUAAAAUAAGAGGAUGAUUUCGCACUUUCGAUUGAGCUUUAAAUUUCAGAAUAGAAUUGCAAAGCGUAGAUCAAUGCAUAGUUUUGUUAUCGCCUCAAAAUAUAAUAAUCAUAAUUCCAGAUUUUGUAGUAGGCUUUUUAUAUUUUUAAUUUUAAUUUGAUUGACCCAUCUGUUUAAAUAUACCAGACAUCGCUAUUAAUCGUUCUUCAAAGUUGUUUGUGAAGUUUUGAAGUCUAUCAUAUAAAUGGUAAAAUUUCAUCAUAAUGCUUUAUGUCAUUACCGGAGGAGAGCUGAGACGGAUUUGUGAUUUUUAAACUCCCAUCUUAAUUUGAAUAACGUUAAUGUGAUGGAAAAUAAAAUUUAGAAAGGAAAUGGGGAAUGUGUCAAAGCGACAACAACCCGACCAUAGAGCAGACAACAGCGAAGGCACCAAGGUCUUCAAUGUAGCGAGAAUCGCACCGUAGGGUCUUCAGCUUGCCCCUUCAAAAUAUGUACAUGUAUACUAGUACAGUGAUAACGGACGUCAUACUUAACUCCGAAUUAUACACAAGAAACUAAAAUUAGAUUUGAGAUUCAUAGUUUUGCAAUGCAUUCUUAUUCUUAAAUAAGACACACGAAAGCAAUAGUGUUAAAUAUGUUUUUUGUUGCUGGAACACCAUUAUAUUUGUCGUGAAGAUAAAGAUAACGCAUCCACAUCCUCAUUCAUUUUAAAGGGUAAGAAAUCCGCGUGCUCAUCGAACUUCAUAGAUUUUGAACGUGCUUCUGAUUGCAUCAGCGACCAGCUUUGAUCCAGAUUGGGAUCAUCUGACUAAACUUGACUCAUUUGCCUGCAAAUUCCACACCUGUCCCCAUUGGAAACCUUAAGUUCUUAUUUUGAUUGAUUGGCUAAAUUUUGGAACCUUGGAUUUGAACUCUUCUAGCCGUUUAGUAAUACUGAUGUCUUCUGUAAGUAUCAUUGUUUAUACCAUAGUUUAAUAUAGGUUAAAAUGUACACCUCUUUAAAAGAUGUUUGGAACAUUUGAUAAACAAGAAUUCAUUUGAUAUUAUGCAUGAUCUCAGUAAAAGUUUACUGAUCAAUGCUAUAUAGUAUUAUUUCAUUCCUCUGCAUACCCAGUCACGAAGAUUAAUUAAAUUAAAUCCCAAAAUCUGCUCCAAAUUUACUUCUUCAUCGACAUAAGAACAUAAAAAAUAUUGAAAAUGAUAUAAUACAUCGAUGUUUAAUAAGAUAGCAUUACAACCGUACUUUAGUGUAAAACAAUGGUACUUCAGCGUCAAACAAUCGUCAUCAAGCGUACAAAAAUCUUACUUAGGGUCAAACAAUAGUCCAUCAUCGUCAAACUAUUGUACUUCAGUAUGAUCAUAGCGGGUAGAACGACCAUAGCGGUCCAGAAUUAUAUUCAUUUAUAAAUAACAGUUGGUAUUUCUAUAUAUACUUGUUGUGUAUCUUGAUAAAGCAAAUUGAUAUGAUCUAUAAAAAGUAUCAACUUAUAAUGUAAUUUUGGAUUUAUCGCGUCUUCUGAUUGGCUGACGUUGUUUUGUUUAUCAGCUCAUAGACAUAGUUGUGUCAUGAGGCCGUGACAUCAUCAACGUUUUUUCAUGGUCUAUUACGAUUUAAAAUGGAAUUUAUUAUUAAAUUAUAAGAAAUGACUGUAAUAGUUUUUCUGUCUAUUCGAAAUAACAUUAAAAUAUGGUGCAUACUUUAAAAUAACCCGCUACGCGGUUUAUUCAGUGUGCACUACAUUGUUGAUAUUAUUUCUUCAUAGACAGAAAAAUAUUACAGUCGUUCCUUAAAUAAAUUAUAAUAAUAUAGAGAAGUGGUAUGAUUGAAAAUGAGAUAAAUAACAACCAAGGUUCAUAUGAAGUGAAUGUAAGGAAUUUUCGACCAACGAGCGGCCUUCAACUAUGAAAAUCACCAAUACCGUAAAGUCAGCUGUAAAAGACACUGCCACGGUUUCCAAAUAUAAAAGAACGGAAAUAAAAUGCUGCCUAUUAGCUGAAAAAAUAUAUACCAUAUUGUUCAACCAAUUUUCGGUGUAGACAUAUAACUUACAUAGUGUUGAUUAUAAUCGUUUUUCAUCAUUACUGAGGUGGAGCAGUGUUUUGUAUGGAGAGUAUCCUUGUUUUCGAAGAACCGACAGUGUUGAUAUGCACGAGGGCAAGUAUUAAUUCAGAUCUAUAAACAAGAUACAACUGGAAAGAAGAUAUUUUAUUGCCGAGAAAUGGUAGGUAAACAUUUGGAAACUUGAAAUGACUAUUGCGCCAUAAUUUCUUGUUUUGAGUCGUCCAUGUAUGUCAAGACAGAGGAACAUUAAAAAAAUAUGUAGCAAUUUUCCUACUUGCAGAUAUUUCCCUAAUCUGAAGUUCAUUAAGGUCUAUUUAACGCAAAGGACGCACAGAGGUAUAGGUUAUCGCGUUUUCUACAUUUUGACAUCAGCCACAGGCCACAAUGUGAACAUUUGUGGCCAGUGAGCGCAGCGAACGAACUAUAAAGAUUCACAUUGUGUCGAGCGGCUGAUAUUUUAAGAUAUCUAUACGAGGACAACUAGAUAAACUGCUUAUCGAGUUGUAACUGGUCGUUUAAUCCCUCCCUUACACAAUUUAACUCUUUACGAAAGCAAGCUUGUUAACGUCUCCGCGCCCAUUGUGAUGCCGCUGAUAACGUCUCAGAAAAAUUGUCACGCCGAUAAUGCCUGCUCACGUCUCAAAGGCGUGAUAUGAGAAUUACCGAGCGACUGAACAGGAUAAAAUAUAAUAUUAAAGGACGAUAAAUGUGGUUUAUUUGAAAGUAUUUGACAUCAUCCUCCAUUUAUCCUAAAGUGAUGAUAGCAUACAACUUGGCAUUGUCUAAGAUUAAAAGACAAAUUAUAAAAAUAACACUUUCGGAGCACCUCGAUCACAUUCCUUAGUAGGGUUGAAGUUCCUCAGUCUUUAGAUUUCUGUGUUGUGGUUUUUAUAUUGUUUUUUGUAGACUGUUGUUUUCGUUUUGUGUUUUGUAUUUUUUUUGGUUUUUAAAUCAACUAAAAUGUUUUGUUGUCUUCGGGACUAUAUUGUAUGAACCAUUCAUAUGAUCACAAUAACAAGUCCGACCAAAUCGAUCUUCAAUGAAUAUUUAAAUUUGAUUUUUUGAUUUUUGGUGUCUUAACGUCACGUUUAACACCGCAUUUAGGCUAUUUCGUAUUUUAUUGGUGGAGAAAGUCGGAGAAAACCACCGACCUUCGAUAGGAGAACUGACAAUCCUUGUCAAUUAAGAUAGGAGUUGAUUGCAACCGCACGAUCGGGGUUCCAACGCACAACUUCAGUGUUGACUGGCUAUUGAUUACAGUAGUAACUACUUAGACGACUCGGCCACCGCGGUCCCUGGAUAUCUAAAAGAACAGUAACUAUUGGUAGCAAUGUAAUAACACUAACACAAAAAUUAUGCAUCUAUCAAGGUGUGUAGCAAUUUGCUGAUAUCAUCUUUGAUAUGUUUGAUACUUGAUUUAAUGCAGUUCUUUACAAUGAAAUGUGUAUCUACGAUUCUCCGUUUUGUAGUUAAUGAUCUAUUUAAUGAAAUGAUGUAUUCGAACUUUCGAUUGAGCCAUAAAUUUCAAAUUAGGAUUACAAAACGUAAUAAUUAUAAUUGCAGAUUUCAUUUUCAAUUAAGCUUAAGAUUGACACCGCUUCUUCAAUAUACAUCAUCUAUAUAGAUGUGUAUGAAGUUUCGAAGUUUAUUAUAAAAAUGGAACAGUUUCAUCAUCAUGUGUAAAGUCAUUACCGAAGAAGAGAUCAGAUGGAUUUGUGAUUUCAAAAGUCCUAUACUUUUUAAAUAAUGUUUCUGUGAUGAAUAUAUGUGAGAUUCAAAGUUUUCUUCAUUUCUUUAAUGAGACAUAUGAAACCAAUACUGUUUAAUUUGUUUUUUUCCUCCUUGGAACAACGUUUAAAUUGUCACGAAGAUUGAGAUAAAGCAUCACAUUCCUCUGGUAUUUUCAAAGAGUAAGAAAUCCACGUGCUUAGUGUACUCAUAGAUAUUAAACGUGCUUCUGAAUGCAUCUCCGAUCAGCUUUGAUCACUUCAGAUGAAGUCUCCAGUUUGGGAACAUCUGACUGCACUUGAUUCAUUUGCUUGCAUAGUCCUCAACUGCCGCCAUUGAAUACCCAAAGUUUUUCUUUUGGUUGAUGGGCUAUAUUUUGCACAAUUGCAAUAACCCUCUUAGCUGUUAAGCAAUGCGGAUGUCUUCUGUAAGUAUCCUGCUAAUACCAUAGUUUAGUUCAUCUUAUAAGGUACACCUCUUUCAACGGCGUUUGUGAUAUUUGCUGAACAAGUUUACCUUUGAUAUAAUGAAUGAUCUCAGUUGAAGUUUUCUGAUAAAUGCUAGAUCGUAUUAUUUCAUUACUUUGCAUACUCAUACAAGAUUUAGUAACUUACAUCA
rnacentral:lncRNA from 1 species